UACGUAGGUGGCAAGCGUUGUCCGGAAUUAUUGGGCGUAAAGCGCGCGCAGGCGGUCCUUUAAGUCUGAUGUGAAAGCCCACGGCUCAACCGUGGAGGGUCAUUGGAAACUGGGGGACUUGAGUGCAGAAGAGGAAAGCGGAAUUCCACGUGUAGCGGUGAAAUGCGUAGAGAUGUGGAGGAACACCAGUGGCAAAGGCGGCUUUCUGGUCUGUAACUGACGCUGAGGCGCGAAAGCGUGGGGAGCAAACAGG
rnacentral:rRNA from 1 species